rnacentral:rRNA from 1 species
CGGAGGCAGCAGUGGGGAAUAUUGCACAAUGGGCGGAAGCCUGAUGCAGCGACGCCGCGUGAGGGAUGACGGCCUUCGGGUUGUAAACCUCUUUCAGCAGGGACGAAGCGCAAGUGACGGUACCUGCAGAAGAAGCACCGGCCAACUACGUGCCAGCAGCCGCGGUAAGACGUAGGGUGCGAGCGUUGUCCGGAUUUAUUGGGCGUAAAGAGCUCGUAGGCGGCUUGUCGCGUCGACCGUGAAAACUUGGGGCUCAACCCCAAGCCUGCGGUCGAUACGGGCAGGCUAGAGUUCGGUAGGGGAGACUGGAAUUCCUGGUGUAGCGGUGAAAUGCGCAGAUAUCAGGAGGAACACCGGUGGCGAAGGCGGGUCUCUGGGCCGAUACUGACGCUGAGGAGCGAAAGCGUGGGGAGCGAACAGGAUUAGAUACCCUAGUAGUCU